AUGGCCGACGCGAGUCAAAGCGUAGUAACCGUUGUUAUCAGCAUAAUAUCUGAUACGGGUUCUAUUUGGACCCAACAUAUUAAAGUUAUUUUUGUAAGCUGGCGGAGUGCUUAAUGCCUGCUUCACCUCUGCCGCCGCUCGGCCCGUUAUUUCACUGUCUUCUACAUUGGCCUCGGGAUCAACCCA